rnacentral:rRNA from 1 species
GACGAACGCUGGCGGCGUGCUUAACACAUGCAAGUCGAACGAUGAAGCUGGAGCUUGCUCCGGUGGAUCAGUGGCGAACGGGUGAGUAACACGUGAGCAAUCUGCCCUUGACUCUGGGAUAACUGCGGGAAACUGUAGCUAAUACCGGAUACGAGGCUCGAAGGCAUCUUCGGGUCUGGAAAGGAUUUCGGUCAAGGAUGAGCUCGCGGCCUAUCAGCUUGUUGGUGAGGUAAUGGCUCACCAAGGCGACGACGGGGAGCCGGCCUGAGAGGGGGACCGGCCACACUGGGACUGAGACACGGCCCAGACUCCUACGGGAGGCAGCAGUGGGGAAUAUUGCACAAUGGGCGAAAGCCUGAUGCAGCAGCGCCGCGUGAGGGAUGAAGGCCUUCGGGUUGUAAACCUCUUUUAGCAGGGAAGAAGCGAAAGUGACGGUACCUGCAGAAAAAGCACCGGCUAACUACGUGCCAGCCGCCGCCGUAA